CUGAUAGUAACUUAAUAUAGAGUAUUGGAUUCUUAAUUCAAGGGUGUCGAGUAUAUUGCGACCUGUCGGA
rnacentral:tRNA from 1 species